GCCGCGGUCGUCUAGCCCGGCCCAGGAUGCGGGCCUUUCGAGCCCGUGACCCGGGUUCAAAUCCCGGCCGCGGCACCA
rnacentral:tRNA from 1 species